rnacentral:rRNA from 1 species
GUGGCGGCGUGCUUAACACAUGCAAGUCGAACGAUGAUCUCCAGCUUGCUGGGGGGAUUAGUGGCGAACGGGUGAGUAACACGUGAGUAACCUGCCCUUGACUCUGGGAUAAGCCUGGGAAACUGGGUCUAAUACCGGAUACGACCGCUCCACGCAUGUGGUGGUGGUGGAAAGCUUUUGCGGUUUUGGAUGGACUCGCGGCCUAUCAGCUUGUUGGUGGGGUAAUGGCCUACCAAGGCGACGACGGGUAGCCGGCCUGAGAGGGUGACCGGCCACACUGGGACUGAGACACGGCCCAGACUCCUACGGGAGGCAGCAGUGGGGAAUAUUGCACAAUGGGCGAAAGCCUGAUGCAGCGACGCCGCGUGAGGGAUGACGGCCUUCGGGUUGUAAACCUCUUUCAGUAGGGAAGAAGCGAAAGUGACGGUACCUGCAGAAGAAGCGCCGGCUAACUACGUGCCAGCAGCCGCGGUAAUACGUAGGGCGCAAGCGUUAUCCGGAAUUAUUGGGCGUAAAGAGCUCGUAGGCGGUUUGUCGCGUCUGCUGUGAAAGACCGGGGCUCAACUCCGGUUCUGCAGUGGGUACGGGCAGACUAGAGUGAUGUAGGGGAGACUGGAAUUCCUGGUGUAGCGGUGAAAUGCGCAGAUAUCAGGAGGAACACCGAUGGCGAAGGCAGGUCUCUGGGCAUUAACUGACGCUGAGGAGCGAAAGCAUGGGGAGCGAACAGGAUUAGAUACCCUGGUAGUCCAUGCCGUAAACGUUGGGCACUAGGUGUGGGGGACAUUCCACGUUUUCCGCGCCGUAGCUAACGCAUUAAGUGCCCCGCCUGGGGAGUACGGCCGCAAGGCUAAAACUCAAAGGAAUUGACGGGGGCCCGCACAAGCGGCGGAGCAUGCGGAUUAAUUCGAUGCAACGCGAAGAACCUUACCAAGGCUUGACAUGAACCGGUAACGCCUGGAAACAGGUGCCC